rnacentral:lncRNA from 1 species
UGACACAAUUUUUUAAUGGAUAAGAUUUUAAUACACAUUUCACAAAGAAAGCUGUAUGAAUGAUCAAUAAGAAUUGUACAUUAAAAAGCAUUCCAUAUCACCAGUUAAAAUUGCAGGGAUAUACUACCAUACAACAAUCAGAAUGGCUAAAAUUUUAGAAACUGAUAAUAACAAAUGUUGGCAAGGAUGUGAAGCACCUAGAACUCAUUGUUGAUAAGCAUGAAAUGGUACAACCACCAUGGAAAAAGAUCUGGCAAGUGUCUUAUAAAACUAAACAUACACCAACAUAUAACCUAUAACUCAGCAAUUCCACUCCCAGAUUAUUUACCCAAGAGAAAUGAAAACAUACGUCCGCAAAAAGACUUGUAAAAAUAUUUAUAGCAGCUUUAUUCAUAAUAGCUCCAAACUAGAAAUGGUCCUUGUGUUCCGUCAAUGGAAGAAUAAACAAACUGUUGUGUAUCUAUGCAUUGGAAUUCAAUGCAGUAAUUUUUUUAAAGGCACUAUUAGCAAUGAGCACCCUGGCACCGAGAUCUUGGUUUCUAAAUACCAUGCACACCAGGCGUCUUUCAUUUCAUUUCCAAAGAACCAGGGCUCUUUAGAGAAAAAGCUGAUUCUGGGGCUGGGGCUCGGGAAGAAUGAGUCUGGAGCAUAUUGUUAAUACCAGAAAGAAAGUACUUAAAGAAGGAUGAGAUUAUGUCACCAGAACAUAAGAGCCAGCCUGAAAGGGUUCCCACAGGACAAAGUUGGGACUGUGUAACCAUAAAAUAAUAAGAGUACUGUAUUAUAAGCCCCUGAAUAAGAACUUCUGAGCUCAUACUGACAUAAAUAAGUAGGCAAGAAGGGUAAAGCUGUCUUAGUACAGAAUGCCAACUAAUAAACAUAGAAGCAAAAGUAGAGUCAUGGCGUGAGUUGGCUAAAGAAAAAAAAAACAGAGUCAGAAAAUAAACAAUAAAGGCUAAAAGAGUAGUUGCAAAUUUAAUGAGGAACCAGACAUAUUGAUACAACGUCCUGUCCCUCCUGACAUGACCAAGGACACAUCCUUUCUGGGCUGCUUCUGACAAAAGUAUACAAUCCAAAUCUAAUAAUGAGGAUAUGUCAGGAAAAAAAACCACAAGAACUCACCUAUUUUUUAAAAAGUAACAAGAUCAAGAAAGACAAAGUUCAUCUGGUUAGAUAGAUGGUGGGAGAAAAAAAGAAGGGCAAAGGAAGGCAAAGGAGUAGACGGAAGGACAUGAAGAAACAUGACAACUAAAUGCAACACAACACACAGUCCUGGAUUGAUUGGAUUCUUGAUUCAGAAAAAAAAAAAAAGCCACAGGUACAUCAACAAAAUAAUUGACAGAAUUUAAAUUUGGUCUAAGGAUUAGCUAAUAGGCAAUAUCAAUGUCAAAUUUCCUGACUCAGAUAUUUAUUCUGGGUUAUAUAUAAGAACAUUGUUGAUCUCAGGAAACACACAUUGAAAUUUUAUAGGGGAAGAGUAUGAGGACUCAAAGUUACUCUCCAAUGUUUCAGGGGAAAACAGAGGGAGAGAGAAAAAAUGGCAAAGCAAGUGGGACAACAGGUAAGCAAGUGGUGAAUAAGUGUGAAGAGUAUACAGCCAUUCCUUCUACUGUUCUUGCAACUUUUCUGUAGGUUUGAUAAAUCCAAGAUAAAAGAUUACCAAAACACACGCACAUACACAUUACUGUAAUUAUUCUCUAUGAGGAUACAGUAGCUCAGUGAUUUUUCUUUUUCUUUUUUUUUUUUUUUGGAGACGCCCAGCUAAUUUUUGUAUUUUUAGUAAAGACAGGGUUUCACCAUGUUGGCCAGGCUGGUCUUGAACUCCUGACCUCAGGUAAUCCACCCACCUUGGCCUCCCAAAGUGCUGGGAUUACAGGCCUGAGUCACCAUGCACAGCCCAUUAUUUAUCAAAUGAUUUUUUUUUUUUUUUUUUGAGACCCAGUCUUGCUCUGUCACCCAGGCUGCAGUGCAGUGGCGCGACCUUGGCUCACUGCAAGCUCCACCUCCCGGGUUCACGCCAUUCUACUGCCUCAGCCUCCCAAGUAGCUGGGACUACAGGCGCCGGCCACCAGGCCUGGCUAAUUUUUUCUAUUUUUCAGUGGAGACGAGGUUUCACUGUGUUAGCCAGGAUGGUCUCUAUCUCCUGACCUCGUGAUCUGCCCGCCUUGGCCUCCCAAAGUGCUGGGAUUACAGGUGCGAGCCACCACGCCCAGCCACCUCAGCGAUUGCUUGGUCACAAAAUUACUAAGAACCAGGCCUUGAACCUGAAUCCAGGCCUUCUGACAAUAGAUCUUUCCAGUGUCCCUGCCCUGUCACUUAUCAAUGAAGAAAUCACCCCCUUAGGCCAUAUUGCUGAACAAUGAACCAAGUGAUUGAGAACUGUGGGGGGAAAUCCUAAAGUUUUUAAAGCACUGGUAGUUACCUGUCAUGACGACCUACUUAGCCAUCUUGUUUGGACACAAAGGAACUGACACAUACUUCAAUCUGAAAGCUGUACUUCCAAAUUGAUGGGGCCCAAAGAAAGAGGGGUAAAAAGCAACAUUUACAUGAAACAAGGAUGUUUUCUAGGAGCCCCAUUCAAUUUCCAAACUGGUAAGUGCUGCGUCUGAUAGCAGGUACUCAGCCCAGCACCACCGCUCUACUGAAUACUUCUUUCCUUUGCAUCUCCUGUGUCUGUGCUUAACAGGGCUGAUAAUUAUGCCAGGUGGAUUCACCUAGGAUGAUCUAUUUCAAUUAAAUUGUGACUGACCUUAAUAUAGUGAAGACAUAUAAUAGAACCAUUUAACUUACACGAAUUCAUCUACUUGUAAAUGUAAUAUGCAUGCAAGUAUACAUAAUAUAAGCAUAUGUACUUAAGUGAUAUGGCCAAAUAUUGCACUUCCUGCAUAAGCCUAAGCCAUGGAAUGGGUGUGAGAUGCACUGUUCUCUCAGGGAUAUCUUACUUUAUGUGCUUCCCCUAAUAUGAGCAUGUCCUUGCUGAGUAUGACAUAGCAUUUAAAGAAAUUAGAAUAAAGAUGCUAACUAAAACAGGUUUUUAGUUAAAAAGCAAUAAAGGAGAAUCCUCAUCCAAAAAUGGAAAUGAAUAGUAGGUGAGUGAGGAGUGGGAAGGACAGGAAAAUAAGAGACAGGUGAAUGGGAGCCAUGGUUUCGACUCCAGGUGCAAGGGAGCCUAAGCGACAGGCUCUGCUUGAAGCUGCGAGCCUGGGGUGAAGCCUGGAACUGGAAACUUCUGCCCAUUCCCUCUGCUAGGCCUCGGACUAAACCUAACAGAAACAGGCAAGACAAGGUGGGAAAGAUGAGUACAGGGAACACAGAGGACUUUUAGGGCAGUGAAAAUACUCUGCAUGAUACUAUAAUGGUGGAAUACAUGUCUUCAUACGUUUGUCCAAACCCACAGAUCAUGCAACACCAAGAAUGAACCCUAAUGUAAACUAUGGGUUUCAGGUGAUGUGGAUAUGUCAGUGUAAUGUGGGCUCACCGAUGGUAACAGAUGCACUGGUCUGGUGGGGGAUGUUGAUAGUAGGAGAAGCAAUGCGUGUGUAGGGGCAGGGGAUAGAUGGGAAAUCUCUCUACCUUCCUCUCACUUUUGCUGGGAAAUUAAAGUUUCUCUUAAAAAAUUAAGUCUCUUAAAAAAUUCAUUUGUUAAAAAACAAUCAAAAACCGGGAAAAUAUUACAAAUAAAAUAUCAUUGCAUAAAAGACUCAGGCAAAAUGAGAGAUCUAUGACAUUCACAGAUGGGAGGAUGAGAAAUCCUAAGCUAACCUAGAAAUUCAAUGUCCAGGCUCCUUAGUUAGCCAUUGGAGGCACUCUGGCCUGGUCCCUGCCAACAUCCCUGGCCUUGCUUCUUCAAAUGGCCCAACAGCCAGUGCUGCCAUCUUCCCUGCCUCCAACCUUGUGCUCCUAUAGCACCCCCUACAGCCUGCUCUCCACAUUGCAAGCAGGAUGGUCCUGCUGAAACAAGUCUGAUCACAUCACUGCCCAAACUGGCCAAUGGCAUCUCAUCUCACUUGAGUAAAAGCCCAAGGCCUCAGCACAGGCCACCAGGCCAUGUGGCCUGUCCUCUUCUCCCGUCACUCUCCCAUCCCCCUUGCUCAAAGGAGUCAAGCCUGAUCCUUCCUCAUGGCCUCUGCACUCUACUCCUUCCAUGCUGCUCCUCUCCCCAGAGCAGCAGAUCUUACAUCCUUCAGUGCUGACACCAUCGAGUCCUCCCUGCCCAUCCUGGAUAAAGCAGCAUUCCUCCCACCAGUCUCCAUCCCCCUUACUCUGACCUAUUUUGCUCAACAGCACUGACCACAAUGUGAGCCAACACACUGUCUUCUCUGACAGAACAAAUGUUCCACAAGGACAGAGACUUUGUUUUGAUGGCUUGAUAUUUAUUUUUAAAGCACCAAAACAGUACCAUCUCCUUCCAGACACUAGGUGAAAAUAUAAGGAACAGAUGAACAUUGCAAGCAGAUGAACAGGUGAACAUAUACACAGACUCACUGCAGUGGCUGCCUCUGGAGGGAACAGGACUGUGAGAGCUGGUUAAAGAGAACUCUACUUUUAUCUUUAUGUUUUGUUUCUUUAAAAAAAAAAGUGGAAAGAUGACUUCAGUAUGGUGGGAAUGGAGAUAAUUAUUGUCUGUCCUUUUUGCUUAUUUUUCAAAUUUUUAUUUACAGUAUACUUCCUCUGAUGCUCAAACACGUGCCCUGUUUCAAUACUGGUAGAAAACUGGUAGUGCUAGACACACUAAGAACAAUAUAAUACUGAAUUUUACAUAUGAUUUAAAAUGAUGUCAAAGUAAAUUUUGACUAUAUGUGACUAUAGCCUUAACUGACAACUUUAGUAUUAACCCUCUUUAAAGUUGAGACUCACAGCAUUUAGCAACAUGGUGACUUAAAAGCGAACUACAUGUAGAACAGUUUCUUCAUUUAGAUAAAGAUUUCUGAAAGACCAAUCUUGUGUAUAAAAUUAAGUUAAUCAAAAUCCCUUUUCUCCAGUGCCAUCUGGUGGAAAGAAGAGGCAACCUCACCUGUACCUGCCACAAAAUAACCACAGCUGUGGUUAUCAGAGCAACAUUCUCUCCCCCCCAACCACCCCGCCUUCCCUGCCCGCAGAGCACCCUCUGUCAUCCCCUCUGUCACCUAGGCUGGAGUGAAGUGGUGCGAUCUCGGCUCACUGCAACCUCCACCUCCCGGGUUCAAGCGAUUCUCCUGCCUCAACCUCCCAAGUAGCUGGGAUUACAGGCGCCUGCUACCACGCCUGGCUUUUUUGUAUUUGUAGUAGAGACAGGGUUUCACCAUUGUUGGCCAGGCUGGUCUAGAAUUCCUGACCUUGUGAUCCGCCCGCCUCAGCCUCCCAAAGUGCUGGGAUUACAGGUGUGAGCCACUGGGCCCGGCCCAGAGCACCAUUCUUUACAAAGAAGGCCCCUCUUUUAUUCUGAUUACUGUGUGGUGUUCUGUUAACUGUUUACUUUCUUUAGAGCCUUCCUCAAACUGGAAAUUCUUCAGCCUACAGGUUAGAUAAGAAGCAAGUGGAUAUUCUUCAUUUUUUUGGCUUUCCUGGUUUCCAUUGACUUGACUUUGGCAAGGCAUUAUUUAGAAAAGGCUGUUCUUCUAUCUUCUGCUCCAAGAUUCUUUCUUUACUGUAUUUAAAUCAAAUGUUUUAACUUCUUCCCCCAGACCAUUCUGCAAUCAUAAUCUGUAUUCAUCCACAUUUCAAGCCCUCUAGAAUAAAAAAUUCCAAUAGUUGAUUUAUACGUAAAACAUGUUAGUGUUAUUUUGCUUUACAUAAACUUAUAAGGAUUUUUUAUUUAAAGGAUUUAAAAAU